rnacentral:rRNA from 1 species
CGUGCAGGCGGUUUGGUAAGUUGGAUGUGAAAGCUCCCGGCUCAACUGGGAGAGGUCGUUCAAUACUACCAGACUUGAGAGUGGUAGAGGGAGGUGGAAUUCCCGGUGUAGUGGUGAAAUGCGUAGAUAUCGGGAGGAACACCAGUGGCGAAAGCGGCCUCCUGGACCAUUUCUGACGCUCAGACGCGAAAGCUAGGGGAGCAAACAGGAUUAGAGACCCCGGUAGUCCUAGCUGUAAACGAUGUGAACUUGGCGCCGGUGGUGUAAAAACCAUCGGUGCCGCAGCCAACGCGAUAAGUUCACCGCCUGGGGACUACGGCCGCAAGGUUAAA